ACGAACGCUGGCGGCGUGCUUAACACAUGCAAGUCGAGCGGUAAGGCCCUUUCGGGGUACGACGAGCGGCGAACGGGUGAGUAACACGUGGGUGACCUGCCCUCAGCUCUGGGAUAAGCCUGGGAAACCGGGUCUAAUACCGGAUAUGACUCCAUGACGCAUGUUGUGGGGUGGAAAGCCUUGUGCGGCUGAGGAUGGGCCCGCGGCCUAUCAGCUUGUUGGUGGGGUGAUGGCCACCAAGGCGACGACGGGUAGCCGGCCUGAGAGGGCGACCGGCCACACUGGGACUGAGACACGGCCCAGACUCCUACGGGAGGCAGCAGUGGGGAAUCUUGCGCAAUGGGCGAAAGCCUGACGCAGCGACGCCGCGUGAGGGAUGACGGCC
rnacentral:rRNA from 1 species